rnacentral:rRNA from 1 species
CCUACGGGAGGCUGCAGUGGGGAAUAUUGGACAAUAGGGGGAACCCUGAUCCAGCCAUGCCGCGUGUGUGAAGAAGGCCCUCGGGUUGUAAAGCACUUUCAGUGAGGAAGAACGCCUGGUGGUUAAUACCCAUCAGGAAAGACAUCACUCACAGAAGAAGCACCGGCUAACUCCGUGCCAGCAGCCGCGGUAAUACGGAGGGUGCGAGCGUUAAUCGGAAUUACUGGGCGUAAAGCGCGCGUAGGUGGCUUGAUAAGCCGGUUGUGAAAGCCCCGGGCUCAACCUGGGAACGGCAUCCGGAACUGUCAAGCUAGAGUGCAGGAGAGGAAGGUAGAAUUCCCGGUGUAGCGGUGAAAUGCGUAGAGAUCGGGAGGAAUACCAGUGGCGAAGGCGGCCUUCUGGACUGACACUGACACUGAGGUGCGAAAGCGUGGGUAGCAAACAGGAUUAGAUACCCCAGUAGUC